UAACUGAGACGGUCCAGACUCCUACGGGAGGCAGCAGUGGGGAAUUUUCCGCAAUGGGCGAAAGCCUGACGGAGCAAUUUCGCUUGAGGGAUGACUGCCUAUGGGUUGUAAACCUCUUUUUUCAGGGAGGAAAAAUGACGGU
rnacentral:rRNA from 1 species